CCGAUGUAGCUCAGGUGGUAGAGCAACUGAUUCGUAAUCAGUAGGUCGGGGGUUCGAGUCCCCCCAUCGG
rnacentral:tRNA from 1 species